CACCUUCUGCUGGAGACCUAUGUAAGGACAUUGGAAGAAGGAAGACUCUCUUCUUUGCCUGCCUGCCUUGUGAGACUGAGCAACUGCUAGAUCCUUGGACUUCCAUUCAUGGCUG
rnacentral:miRNA from 14 species